ACCCAAUAGAUACCCUGGUAGUCCACGCUGUAAACGAUGAGUGCUAGGUGUUGGGGGUCAACCUCGGUGCCGCAGUUAAACGCAUUAAGCACUCCGCCUGGGGAGUACGUUCGCAAGAAUAAAACUCAAAGGAAUUGACGGGGACCCGGCACAAGCAGCGGAGCAUGUGGUUUAAAUUCGAAGCAACGCGAAGAACCUUACCUGGAUUUGACAUCCCUCUGAUCGUCUCUUAAUCGAGAUUUUCCCUUCGGGGACAGAGGAGACAGGUGGUGCAUGGUUGUCGUCAGCUCGUGUCGUGAGAUGUUGGGUUAAGUCCCGCAACGAGCGCAACCCUUGUCUUUAGUUGCCAUCAAGUAAAGUUGGGCACUCUAAAGAGACUGCCAAGGUAAA
rnacentral:rRNA from 1 species